UACGGAAGGCAGCAGUGGGGAAUAUUGCACAAUGGGCGAAAGCCUGAUGCAGCUAUGCCGCGUGUAUGAAGAAGGCCUUAGGGUUGUAAAGUACUUUCAUCGGGGAGGAAAAACAAAACUAAUAAUUUUAUUUCUUGACGUUACCCGAAAAAGAAGCACCGGCUAACUCCGUGCCAGCAGCCGCGGUAAUACGGAGGGUGCUAGCGUUAAUCAGAAUUACUGGGCGUAAAGAGCACGUAGGUGGUUUUUUUAAGUCAGAUGUGAAAUCCCUGGGCUUAACCUAGGAACUGCAUUUUGAAACUGAAAUACUAGAGUAUCGUAGAGGGAGGUAGAAUUCUAGGUGUAGCGGUGAAAUGCGUAGAUAUCUGGAGGAAUACCUGUGGCGAAAGCGGCCUCCUAAACGAAUACUGACACUGAGGUGCGAAAGCGUGGGGAGCAAAACGAGGGAUUACGAGUACC
rnacentral:rRNA from 1 species